rnacentral:rRNA from 1 species
AUUGAACGCUGGCGGCAGGCCUAACACAUGCCAGUCGAGCGGAUGAAGGGAGCUUGCUCCUGGAUUCAGCGGCGGACGGGUGAGUAAUGCCUAGGAAUCUGCCUGGUAGUGGGGGAUAACGUCCGGAAACGGGCGCUAAUACCGCAUACGUCCUGAGGGGGAACGUGGGGGAUCUUCGGACCUCACGCUAUCAGAUGAGCCUAGGUCGGAUUAGCUAGUUGGUGGGGUAAAGGCCUACCAAGGCGACGAUCCGUAACUGGUCUGAGAGGAUGAUCAGUCACACUGGAACUGAGACACGGUCCAGACUCCUACGGGAGGCAGCAGUGGGGAAUAUUGGACAAUGGGCGAAAGCCUGAUCCAGCCAUGCCGCGUGUGUGAAGAAGGUCUUCGGAUUGUAAAGCACUUUAAGUUGGGAGGAAGGGCAGUAAGUUAAUACCUUGCUGUUUUGACGGUACCAACAGAAUAAGCACCGGCUAACUUCGUG